rnacentral:rRNA from 1 species
UACGUAGGGGGCAAGCGUUGUCCGGAUUUACUGGGCGUAAAGAGCGCGUAGGCGGAAAUUUAAGCGUGGCCUGAAAGCCCCCGGCUCAACCGGGGAGUGCGGCUGCGAACUGGGUUUCUUGAGGACGAUAGAGGAGAGUGGAAUUCCUGGUGUAGCGGUGAAAUGCGUAGAUAUCAGGAGGAACACCCGAGGCGAAGGCGGCUCUCUGGGUCGUACCUGACGCUGAGGCGCGAAAGCAUGGGGAGCGAACAGG